rnacentral:rRNA from 1 species
AUUGAACGCUGGCGGCAGGCCUAACACAUGCAAGUCGAACGAGUGGCGGACGGGUGAGUAAUGUCUGGGAAACUGCCUGAUGGAGGGGUAUCACUCCUGGCAACGGUAGCUAAUCCCGCAUACCCUCGGAUUUUCCCAGAUGUGAUUAGCUCGUAGGUGGGGUAAAGGCUCACCUAGGCGACGAUACCUAGCUGGUCUGAGAGGAUGACCAGCCAAACUGGAACUGAGACACGGUACAGACUCCUACGGGAGGCAGCAGUGGGGAAUAUUGCACAAUGGGCGCAAGCCUGAUACAGCCAGGCCGCGUGUGUGAAGAAGGCCUUCGGGUUGUAAAGUACUUUCAGCGGGGAGGCGUUACCCGCAGAAGAAGCACCGGCUAACUCCGUGCCAGCAGCCGCGGUAAUAC